rnacentral:misc_RNA from 1 species
UCCAGAUGGCCUAUGAACUAAAUGAAAUAAAGAAAAUUGGAUUGGGUCUCAUUGGCUUUGGCAUCUUUUUCUCAUUUCUUGCUAUACUUCUGUUUUUCGAUAGGGGUUUACUUGCCCUAGGGAAUAUAUUUUGGUUAGCAGGUGUAGCCAUAUUGCUUGGUUGGCGUUCUACUUUGAAUAUUUUUACAAACAAAGCAAACUACAAGGGCUCUGUGUCUUUUCUUCUGGGGCUUUUCUUCAUUUUUGUUCGCUGGCCUAUCGUUGGUAUAAUCUUGGAAAUAUAUGGCUGUAUUGCUCUCUUUGGUGGCUUUUGGCCAUCUGUUACUGUAUAAUCCAUCCAACAACUGGAAU